UACGAAGGGUGCAAACGUUGCUCGGAAUUAUUGGGCGUAAGCGCACGUAGGCGGCUUUGCAAGUCGGAUGUGAAAUCCCUCGGCUUAACCAAGGAAGUGCAUCCGAAACUGCAGAGCUUGAGUACUUAAGAGGAUCGCGGAAUUCCCGGUGUAGAGGUGAAAUUCGUAGAUAUCGGGAGGAACACCAGUGGCGAAGGCGGCGAUCUGGGAAGAUACUGACGCUGAGGUGCGAAAGCGUGGGGAGCAAACAGG
rnacentral:rRNA from 1 species